rnacentral:rRNA from 1 species
GACGAACGCUGGCGGCGCGCUUAACACAUGCAAGUCGAACGGUGAACCGGGCUUCGGCCCGGGGAUCAGUGGCGAACGGGUGCGUAACACGUGGGCAACCUGCCCCUCACUCUGGGAUAACCCCGGGAAACCGGAGCUAAUACCGGAUACUCCGACCGGUCCGCAUGGUCUGGUCGGGAAAGGUCCGCCGGUGAGGGAUGGGCCCGCGGCCUAUCAGCUUGUUGGUGGGGUAACGGCCUACCAAGGCGACGACGGGUAGCUGGUCUGAGAGGACGCCCAGCCACACUGGGACUGAGGUACGGCGCAGACUCCUACGGGAGGCAGCAGUGGGGAAUCUUGCGCAAUGGGCGAAAGCCUGACGCAGCGACGCCGCGUGGGGGACGAAGGCCCUCGGGUUGUAAACCCCUUUCGGCAGGGACGAAGCGAUCGUGACGGUACCUGCAGAAGAAGCCUCGGCUAACUACGUGCCAGCCGCCGCGGUAA